UACGUAGGGUCCGAGCGUUGUCCGGAAUUAUUGGGCGUAAAGAGCUCGUAGGCGGUUUGUCGCGUCUGCUGUGAAAUCCCGAGGCUCAACCUCGGGCCUGCAGUGGGUACGGGCAGACUGGAGUGCGGUAGGGGAGAAUGGAAUUCCUGGUGUAGCGGUGGAAUGCUCAGAUAUCAGGAGGAACACCGAUGGCGAAGGCAGUUCUCUGGGCCGUAACUGACGCUGAGGAGCGAAAGCGUGGGGAGCGAACAGG
rnacentral:rRNA from 1 species